AUUGAACGCUGGCGGUAGGCCUAACACAUGCAAGUCGAACGGCAGCACAGUACUAGCUUGCUCUUACGGGUGGCGAGUGGCGGACGGGUGAUGAAUACCUCGGAAUCUACUUUUUCUUGGGUGAGAACGUAGGGAAACUUACGCUAAUACCGCAUACGACCUACGGGUGAGAUCAGGGGAUCUUCCGACCUUGCGCGAUUGAAUGAGCCGAUGUCGGAUUAGCUAGUUGGCGGGGUAAAGGCCCACCAAGGCGACGAUCCGUAGCUGGUCUGAGAGGAUGAUCAGCCACACUGGAACUGAGACACGGUCCAGACUCCUACGGGAGGCAGCAGUGGGGAAUAUUGGACAAUGGGCGCAAGCCUGAUCCAGCCAUACCGCGUGGGUGAAGAAGGCCUUCGGGUUGUAAAGCACUUUUGUUGGGAAAGAAAAGCAGCAGGUUAAUACCCCGCUGUUCUGACGGUACCAAAAGAAUAAGCACCGGCUAACUUCGUG
rnacentral:rRNA from 1 species